GUCCAGCAGCAGAGAGCAGACUCCCCUGAACCCAGCUGUGUCUCCCCGAAGAGUGACCACUCUAUGGGUCUACCUGUUAGGUUUAAAGACGGAAAUCAACCUAUUGAGAAGAGCCCAGAGCAGCAGGAGAGAGCAGACUACCCUGGACCCAGCUGUGUCUCCAUGAAGAGUGACCACUCUAUGGGUCUACCUGAUAGGUUUAAAGACGGAAAUCAACCUAUUGAGAAGAGAAGAGUCCAGCAGCAGAGAGCAGACUCCCCUGGACCCAGCUGUGUCUCCGUGAAGAGUGACCACUCUAUGGGUGUACCUGAUAGGUUUAACGAUGGAAAUCAACCUAUUGA